UUGAACGCUGGCGGCAGGCCUAACACAUGCAAGUCGCGCGGAUGAAGGGAGCUUGCUCCUGGAUUCAGCGGCGGACGGGUGAGUAAUGCCUAGGAAUCUGCCUGGUAGUGGGGGAUAACGUCCGGAAACGGGCGCUAAUACCGCAUACGUCCUGAGGGAGAAAGUGGGGGAUCUUCGGACCUCACGCUAUCAGAUGAGCCUAGGUCGGAUUAGCUAGUUGGUGGGGUAAAGGCCUACCGAGGCGACGAUCCGUAACUGGUCUGAGAGGAUGAUCAGUCACACUGGAACUGAGACACGGUCCAGACUCCUACGGGAGGCAGCAGUGGGGAAUAUUGGACAAUGGGCGAAAGCCUGAUCCAGCCAUGCCGCGUGUGUGAAGAAGGUCUUCGGAUUGUAAAGCACUUUAAGUUGGGAGGAAGGGCAGUAAGUUAAUACCUUGCUGUUUUGACGUUACCAACAGAAUAAGCACCGGCUAACUUCGUG
rnacentral:rRNA from 1 species